CUGGAGUCAAAGUGGCACGUCUUACGAUCUUCCUGUAACUUGUGUCUCAAAUGCUCCAAUAUCAAACGAAAGGACGAACGGCAUCCUGAAUAAUCAAUCAUAUUAUAGCAGAUGACUUGUGUUCGACUACAAUA
ensembl:snoRNA snoRNA:Psi18S-525c snoRNA:Psi18S-525c